CUCGUGAUUAAUCUUAUAUCGGGAUAAUAAGGACUUACAAAGCCUCUUUUAGUGAUUCUGUUUACUUUGUUCAAGUUAACUGGUUUUUCUGAUUUAUCGUGACCAACUUGCUUUUCGAGGCGAGUGACUUUGACAGCAGAUGACCAGUUGUUUUUUCUGAUGAGCAAUUGACUGCUUAAUUGACUGUCAAACUCUGGAGACCAAUUGCUAAUCAGAAGUCUUGCGACUUUCUUGUUGGAAGCCUAGCGAUUGACUGCUCGAUUUUUGUUGAUCAUCUAUAUCUUACCUUUGUCCUUCUUCCUGGAGAAAGAUGUUUUUCCCCAUCUAUCCCUUCUGGUUACAUUCUUUAUUUCUCACUUUUACAUCAGUUGUGUGUCAUUUGAUUCUCUCUUGUCAUCAUAACUUUUUCAUGUUUGUUUUGUUUUAUUCAACUAAGAACCUCAGAUUCGUGAGAAUGACAAACAGAUGGAAGAUAUAUAUUGUCCAAAGAUGUCACUUGUCAUUGAAUCACGAUUUAGUGUAGAGUGACACCUUACAGAAGAUUCAAACUCCAUAUCCCCAUAACAUUCCUUUACGUUCUUUAUUAUUUAUAUAUAAUUUUUAUGGAGUUGGUCCGUAAUUAGUCUGUGAAGACAGGUCAAGUCGGGUCAACAUCUGUUUUUCCUAUACAUUUAAAAUAUAUUUUCAUAUUUAUUUUAUGGAAGUUUUCUGGGACCUCACACUAAUUUGAUUGAUAUUUAUUUAUUAU
rnacentral:lncRNA from 1 species